UUGCUUUGGCAGCAUAUGUACUAAAACUGGAACAAUACAGACUGGCUUGACCCUGUAAAAGGAUGACAUACAAAAAUCAUGUAUCACUCCAAUUGUUA
rnacentral:snRNA from 1 species